rnacentral:rRNA from 1 species
ACAUGCCUACAACAUAGCGUUAAUGCAUUAGAUCCCAUUAGAACUCCUCAGUUAAGUGCACUCGGUCUAGAGUAGUGCUGGGAUGGGCGACUUCUCGAGAAGUACUAGUAUUUUACAUGCC